rnacentral:rRNA from 1 species
CUCGUUGGUGACCAGCGGAGGGAUCAUUA